rnacentral:rRNA from 1 species
GUAGGUGGCAAGCGUUGUCCGGAAUUAUUGGGCGUUAAAGCGCGCGCAGGUGGUUCGUUUAAGUCUGAUGUGAAAGCCCCCGGGCUCAACCGGGGAGGGUCAUUGGAAACUGGGGAACUUGAGUGCAGGAGAGGAAAGUGGAAUUCCACGUGUAGCGGUGAAAUGCGUAGAUAUGUGGAGGAACACCAGUGGCGAAGGCGACUUUCUGGCCUGUAACUGACACUGAGGCGCGAAAGCGUGGGGAGCAAACAGGAUUAGAUACCCUGGUAGUCCACGCCGUAAACGAUGAGUGCUAAGUGUUGGGGGGUUUCCGCCCCUCAGUGCUGCAGCUAACGCAUUAAGCACUCCGCCUGGGGAGUACGGUCGCAAAGACUG